rfam:Punica granatum cultivar Dabenzi scaffold532, whole genome shotgun sequence.
AUACCUUUCUCGACCUUUCGGCUAAGAUCAAGUGUAGUAUUUGUUAAUUAUCAGUUUAAUCUGGGAUACGUGGGCCAUUGACCCACAAGAUAUUUAAAUUUAUUUUUAUAGAAGAGGGCCCACAACAGUAGCUUGCUAUUGGGGUCCUCGAGCGUCGCCCAGGCGUUGCACUACAUCCCCUGCCCGGCACGCCCUAC